rnacentral:lncRNA from 1 species
GGUUACACAGUGUUUCUUUGACCUGUUUAAGUGUGAGAGUUCUGAAGGGACUAGAUUCAACCGUGUCCCUCUUUUCCUCCUUCCGCAAAACCAAUCCUUUUGACACGUCUUCUUCGCCUGCUCCAAUUUUCGUUGGUUUCAGUCCAUUCCACACCCUGUUUGUUUUUGUCCGAUACAGCUGUGGAAAGAAUACAGCCCUCUUUUUCCGAUUACAACCGCAUUCCUUUUGAAGCACUAACUGCAACCCAGAACAUGCGGAUCUGAGCCCAUAGCGUUUGAGAACAUCUACCCCGGGAGCUACAAAAAGACGCCCAGGAACUGGCUACAACAUCUACAGCCUCAACCCCCAGACUCAACAUCUCUAACCCCAAGCUCAAAAACAAGGCGGAAUACCAGACACACCAACUGAUGGUGUUACUGAGGAACCUCUCCCUGACCCUGAAGGAAUACCAGACACACCAACUGAUGGUGUUACUGAGGAACCUCUCCCAGACCCUGAAGGAAUACCAGACACACCAACUGAUGGUGUUACUGAGGAACCUCUCCCAGACCCUGAAGGAAUACCAGACACACCAACUGAUGGUGUUACUGAGGAACCUCUCCCAGACCCUGAAGGAAUACCAGACACACCAACUGAUGGUGUUACUGAGGAACCUCUCCCAGACCCUGAAGGAAUACCAGACACACCAACUGAUGAUAAGUCAAGCUUUAUUUUCGCAACCAUAUUCAAUCAUGGACCACAUCUAAAUAUUUUUUUCUUGACAAUAAAUAUAACAAAUAUAUAUAUAACAAAAAUAACAAAGCAUGAAAUCUUGACAGAUGUGGGUGAUUUUCCUGACCCCUCAUCCCCAGGCCUACCAAAAGGGUGUCCUCUUUGGCGAGCGCUUCAGCUGCACCGCAUGUUUUGACUGACGCAGUCCUGAAACAACAAGAAGAGAUCAACACAUCAAACAGACUCAAACAGCAGCUGGAGGAUUUGAGUGCAUCCCUGUUGGGCUUCCCUGCAUACCUGGAUGAGAAGAGUGAGAGGAUAUGGGACCUGAUGGAGAGGAAUUUGAACCAGUUGGAGGAGAGAGGCACAGCACUGCUCUUCUAGCAGCUAUCCAGGCCCAGCAGCAAAGCCGGAGGAGAGAAGUGCCAGCGGCGGUGACCAGACCAACAAUGGUGACCUCAGCGACGAUACCCCCAUUGAACCCUACAUCAACUAUGCCACCGGCUAUGGUGAGCCCCCCAAUAACGGUGCCUCCAGCAACGGUGAGAUCUCCGAUGAUGCACCCUGCU